CUACGAAAACUGCACAAUGUGGGAAACCACGAUGCGGGUAUUCCGAGUGACAACGCAUUGCGUUGUCUGUUCUUUCGCCUAAAAAGCGAGAGAAGUAAGGGCCGGGUAAGACGGGUGCCAGCCGCCGCGGUAAUACCCGCGGCCCGAGUGGUGCUCAUUAUUAUUGAGCUUAAAGCGUUCGUAGCCGGCCUCGUAAAUCCUUGGGUAAAUCGGGCAGCUCAACUGUUCGAAUUCCGAGGAGACUGCGAGGCUCGGGACCGGGAGAGGUCAGAGGUACUUCGGGGGUAGGGGUAAAAUCCUGUAAUCCUCGAAGGACCACCAGUGGCGAAGGCGUCUGACUAGAACGGAUCCGACGGUGAGGGACGAAGCCCUGGGGCGCAAACGGGAUUAGAUACCCCGGUAGUCCAGGGUGUAAACGCUGCGGGCUUGGUGUCGGAGGUCCUACGGGGGCGUCCGGUGCCGGAGAGAAAUUGUUAAGCCUGCCGCUUGGGGAGUACGGUCGCAAGACUGAAACUUAAGGAAUUGGCGGAGAGCACCGCGAACGGGGAGGUAGCGUGGCGUUACGU
rnacentral:rRNA from 1 species